UACAGAGGGGGCAAGCGUUGUUCGGAAUUACUGGGCGUAAAGGGCGCGUAGGCGGCCCGCUAAGUCGAACGUGAAAUCCCCGGGCUCAACCCGGGAACUGCGUCCGAUACUGGCGGGCUUGAAUCCGGGAGAGGGAUGCGGAAUUCCAGGUGUAGCGGUGAAAUGCGUAGAUAUCUGGAGGAACACCGGUGGCGAAGGCGGCAUCCUGGACCGGCAUUGACGCUGAGGCGCGAAAGCUAGGGGAGCAAACGGG
rnacentral:rRNA from 1 species